GUGAAUCAUCAAAUUUUUGAACGCAAAUUGCACUCUCCUCGGAGAGUAUGCCUGUUUGAGGGUCAGCCUAUAAAAAUCGACAUCGUUGCUGUUUCGCGGUGGCGUUCUUCGUAAAUUUUGUCAUCUUAAAUCCUUUUGAUUUAAGCGACUUAAAAUUUUCUUUUGGUUCCAUGAACGUUUCUAAUAUCUAUUUCUUUACACUUUUAAGUUAUGGAUUUUUACUAUACGUUACCAUCAUAUCGUAUCUCGUCCAUAAUCUUGCAUUAACUAUCCC
rnacentral:misc_RNA from 1 species